rfam:Aedes albopictus isolate Foshan contig36270, whole genome shotgun sequence.
UGUUCUGUGGCUUAGUUGGUUAAAGCACCGGUAUAGCGAAUACGGGAUCGUGGGUUCGAAUCCCACCAGAACGC